rnacentral:rRNA from 1 species
AGAGUUUGAUCCUGGCUCAGAACGAACGCUUGGCGGCGUGCUUAACACAUGCAAGUCGAACGCGAAAAGGGACUUCGGUCCCGAGUAGAGUGGCGCACGGGUGAGUAACGCGUAAGUAAUCUACCCCUGUAUCUGGAAUAACCCACCGAAAGGUGAGCUAAUACCGGAUACGUUUAUCUUGAUGCGAAUGAUGAUAAAGAAAGGUGGCCUCUUCAUGAAAGCUACUGUACAGGGAYGAGCUUGCGUACCAUUAGCUAGUUGGUAGGGUAAUGGCCUACCAAGGCGACGGAUGGUUAGCGGGUCUGAGAGGAUGGUCCGCCACACUGGAACUGGAACACGGUCCAGACUCCUACGGGAGGCAGCAGUGAGGAAUUUUGCGCAAUGGGGGCAACCCUGACGCAGCAACGCCGCGUGGGUGAAGAAGGCCUUCGGGUCGUAAAGCCCUGUCAGGUGGGAAGAACAUCCCGGUGGUGAAUAAUCAUCGGGGAGUGACGGUACCACCAGAGGAAGCACCGGCUAACUCCGUGCCAGCCGCCGCGGUAAUA